rnacentral:rRNA from 1 species
CCCUUAGAUGUUCUGGGCCGCACGCGUGCUACACUGAUGCAUUCAACGAGUCUAAAACCUGGUCUGAUAGGGCUGGGUAAUCUUUUGAAAGUGCAUCGUGAUUGGGAUAGAUGAUUGCAAUUCUUCAUCUUCAACGAGGAAUGCCUAGUAAACGCAAGUCAUCAGCUUGCAUUGAUUACGUCCCUGCCCUUUGUACACACCGCCCGUCGCUCCUACCGAUUGAAUGAUCCGAUGAAUACCAUGGAUUGAGAGUACGAAUAGGUUCGCUUAUUUCUGCUGCUCGAGAAGUGGAGUAAAUCUUAUCAUUUAGAGGAAGGAGGAGUCGUAACA